GGAGACUGGUUGUGAUUCUGAGGUAAUGGAGGUGAGGAAACUGGGUGGUGUUAUUUUGUGGGUGGUUUGGUGGUAGUGAGGUUUGGUCGGAGUUCUUUGAUUUAUUAUUCGAGAUGCUUGGUGAAGAUUUGAGCGAAAGAACAUAUGGAUUUGGGAUAAGGGAGGUCUGGUGGUUAUGUGGUGUUAUUUUGAGACUAUUUGGCUUCAACGCCGCCAUACACGACGGAGCAGCCGACAUUUCAAUUGAAUAUUCGACGGGAUUGGCUGCGAUUUAUGGGCUAGUAAUAGUAGAUCUAGAAAGAGGAAGACAGAGAGAAUGGUUGGCGGAGGUGAUUUUUGGCCUGCGGCACAUGGCGGAAGGAGGCGACAUUAGGGUUUUUGGGAUAGACAAGGUACGAGGUUCUAUUUAGUGGGUGGGGGUGUUUAAAACACUUAUGUACAAAGUAACACCUAGCUUCAAUACCGUUUGAUCAAAAGAAAAUGGAUGGCUCUGAUUGGCCGUUACAAAACGACGUCAUUUAGUUGUUGUCUCAUAUGAGACUGGGUUGGGGACAGUUUGUGGGCCGGGUCUUGGGUAUUUUAAAUGGGUUUGGCUGAUUAGGCUAGGAUUUUAUUUAAUGAAAUUACCCAAAAUUGGUCUUCAUUUUUCCAAAAUUUUUCUUUUUCAAAUUCUUUGAAUUUUCUUUUUUUUUUCAUUUUCCAAAAUAUUAAAAAUCCUAGAUAAAUCACAAAAUUCCAAUUUUACCUAAAAAAAUGGAAAACAAUCCCAUAUAAUUAUGAUCAAAAUGAGAUAAAAGGAAAAAUUAUCUAAAAAUUCAAAAAUUAAAAUCAAGAAAGCAAAUUGAACCUAUUUUGUGGUUUUUUCUUUUAUAAAAUGAUUAAUUGCUAAUGGAUGAUCAAAUCAACUUUAAAAUGUGCAUGCAACAUUUUUUGUAUUUUCAAGAAUUAUCUAAAUAAAAAAUGCAAACACAAAAAUUGUGCAAUUAAUCCUAAAAAUCAAAUAAUUAAAAGGAAAAAUCCAAAAUCUAAGAAAUUUAUAGAAGUAAUUCAUGCGGGGCAAAAAUCACAUGCUCACACUAAGGGUAAAACAACAUUAAUGGCCAUGCAAUUGUCAUUUUUGUUUGGCAUGGCACCCCUCAAUUCUAAUUUAAAAGGGUCAAUUCAACUACAUUCGGAGGGCCAUAACCGUUUAUGUUAUCGAAUAUGGCUUACCUCAACUAGUUAAAAGUCUAAUCAAUUAAUACUAAAUGUAAUUAAAGGUUCUAUUUAAGCUAGCUAGGGUGGCUUAUGUAAGGGAAAACUAAUGUUUUUUAUCGGAAAACUUGAGCCACCACAAAGGUUUGGAGGCCCAAACAAAGAAAUGAUCUUCCUCUGAUGUGAAGGGACCCUCAGAAGUACACCUCAAAAUGGCCCAAAUGUGGGACCUUGCAGUUGUUGAGUCAGGACCCAGCAUUGAAUCCUUACCAUAUGAACAACUCUGAAGGUUGUCAGUGAAUUCUAAUCAUUUUUAGCCGAUCUAAUAACACAUAAUUACGGUUUGAUCAUGAAAGCAAUUCCAAUUUCAACGAUUAACAAAAGGCAAUGGAAUUUUACAAUUUCAAUCAACAACGCAGCCAAUCACACUGCUAUCGAACAGAAGUUACCAUAUCUAAUGAUGUUUGAUCAUUCAACAUCUAAUUAAGCAAAAAGCUACUCAGAAUUAUAUGUAGAACUCCAUUAUUGACCCAACUAAGCAAACAUGUUGUUCUAACUUUCAAGCUGAUUUAAACAUUAUGACCAUGUCCAUUUACACAAUACCGGUUUUCAAAUUACAGAAUAUUCGACCAAAAUUGAAUCCAUGUUCAUUUCAAACCAAACUCAACCCCUAAAAGCACUAUCACUGACCAAUAUUCAAACGUAAACAUAUUCAAACUAAAACUCAAAAUAAAGACAAAAUUAAACUCUUCUAAUGAGAAUAAAUGGCCAGCAUGCUUCAACUCUUCCUGAUUUCCAUAUCACAAAAGGUUUUACAGCGGGUUGAGUAAAAAUGUACUUAGAAAUGAGAGUAAAAGUGGUAAGAUUCAGCAGCAGCAAUAACAGGACCCAACAGUAGAAAUAAACCAGGGAAGUAGCUUUAAACCAACAAAAAACUGAUGCUCACCAAUCAAAAUCCACAACCAAAAAACUUCCAAUACCAGAUUCAACCCAUCUCAGCCCAGCAAGUUUAGAAGCUAUUUUGGGAAUUAGAAAUUGAAGAGAUCACAAGAAGAACCCAAUAAAACGGUAACUUCCACAAACUUCAAACCAAAAUUCCCCACAAAUCAACACCAAACCUAGUCCAUUUCAAUCUUCAAACUAUUCAGAAAUUAUCUCAAAAUUGUAGGCUACAACAGCCAAAGGAAAGAGAAGGAAACUUAAUGAAAACAGUAGAGAAUAUUUGGUCGUUGUAUUUUCUGGAAUUCUCUAUCACUCAAUUCUGCCUUGCAAGGUAAGAAUGAGAUGCUUUUAUAGGUAAGCAAAUAGGGCAAAUUUUAGGAUUUUAAUUUUGCACUCUGCCCCC
rnacentral:lncRNA from 1 species